rnacentral:rRNA from 1 species
AACCCUGAUGCAGCGACGCCGCGUGGAGGAAGAAGGUCUUCGGAUUGUAAACUCCUGUUGUUGAGGAAGAUAAUGACGGUACUCAACAAGGAAGUGACGGCUAACUACGUGCCAGCAGCCGCGGUAAAACGUAGGUCACAAGCGUUGUCCGGAAUUACUGGGUGUAAAGGGAGCGCAGGCGGGAAGACAAGUUGGAAGUGAAAUCCAUGGGCUCAACCCAUGAACUGCUUUCAAAACUGUUUUUCUUGAGUAGUGCAGAGGUAGGCGGAAUUCCCGGUGUAGCGGUGGAAUGCGUAGAUAUCGGGAGGAACACCAGUGGCGAAGGCGGCCUACUGGGCACCAACUGACGCUGAGGCUCGAAAGUGUGGGUAGCAAACAGGAUUAGAUACCCUAGUAGUCCU